rnacentral:rRNA from 1 species
UACGUAGAGGGCAAGCGUUAUCCGGAUUUACUGGGUGUAAAGGGAGCGUAGGCGGCGAUGCAAGUCAGAAGUGAAAGCCCGGGGCUCAACUCCGGGACUGCUUUUGAAACUGUGUUGCUAGAUUGCAGGAGAGGUAAGUGGAAUUCCUAGUGUAGCGGUGAAAUGCGUAGAUAUUAGGAGGAACACCAGUGGCGAAGGCGGCUUACUGGACUGUAAAUGACGCUGAGGCUCGAAAGCGUGGGGAGCAAACAGG